rnacentral:rRNA from 1 species
UGGGGAAUUUUGGACAAUGGGCGAAAGCCUGAUCCAGCAAUGCCGCGUGUGCGAAGAAGGCCUUCGGGUUGUAAAGCACUUUUGUCCGGAAAGAAAUCCUUGGCUCUAAUACAGUCGGGGGAUGACGGUACCGGAAGAAUAAGCACCGGCUAACUACGUGCCAGCAGCCGCGGUAAUACGUAGGGUGCAAGCGUUAAUCGGAAUUACUGGGCGUAAAGCGUGCGCAGGCGGUUUGCUAAGACCGAUGUGAAAUCCCCGGGCUCAACCUGGGAACUGCAUUGGUGACUGGCAGGCUAGAGUAUGGCAGAGGGGGGUAGAAUUCCACGUGUAGCAGUGAAAUGCGUAGAGAUGUGGAGGAAUACCGAUGGCGAAGGCAGCCCCCUGGGCCAAUACUGACGCUCAUGCACGAAAGCGUGGGGAGCAAACAGGAUUAGAUACCCUGGUAGUCCACGCCCUAAACGAUGUCAACUAGUUGUUGGGGAUUCAUUUCCUUAGUAACGUAGCUAACGCGUGAAGUUGACCGCCUGGGGAGUACGGUCGCAAGAUUAAAACUUAAAGGAAUUGACGGGGUCAUAGCUGUUUCCU